AUUGAACGCUGGCGGCAGGCUUAACACAUGCAAGUCGAGCGGAGUGAUGGUGCUUGCACUAUCACUUAGCGGCGGACGGGUGAGUAAUGCUUAGGAAUCUGCCUAUUAGUGGGGGACAACAUCUCGAAAGGGAUGCUAAUACCGCAUACGUCCUACGGGAGAAAGCAGGGGAUCACUUGUGACCUUGCGCUAAUAGAUGAGCCUAAGUCGGAUUAGCUAGUUGGUGGGGUAAAGGCCUACCAAGGCGACGAUCUGUAGCGGGUCUGAGAGGAUGAGCCGCCACACUGGGACGGAGGCACGGGCCAGAAUCCUACGGGAGGGAGCAGUGGGGAAAAUUGGACAAUGGGGGAACCCUGAUCCAGCCUGGCCGCGUGUGUGAAGAAGGCCUUAUGGUUGUAAAGCACUUUAAGCGAGGAGGAGGCUCUUUUGGUUAAUACCCAAGAUGAGUGGACGUUACUCGCAGAAUAAGCACCGGCUAACUCUGUGCCAGCCGCCGCGGUAA
rnacentral:rRNA from 1 species